rnacentral:rRNA from 1 species
ACGAACGCUGGCGUCUGCUUAAAACAUGCAAGUCGAACGGAGUGGCGAACGGGUGAGUAACGCGUGAGCAACCUUCCUAUGACAGUGGGAUAACCUCGGGAAACCGGGAUUAAUACCGCAUAGUCAUAGAUGGGCUCGCGUCUGAUUAGCUAGUUGGGUAGAGAACAGCCCACCAAUGCGACGAUCAGUAGCCGGUCUGAGAUGAUGAACGGCCUUAUUGGAACUGAGACACGGGCCUAACACCUACGGGAGGCAGCAGUGGGGAAUAUUGCACAAUGGGGGAAACCCUGAUGCAGCGACGCCGCGUGAACGAAGAAGGUAUUCGUAUCGUAAAGUUCUGUCCUAUGGGAAGCAGUACCAUAGAAGAAAGCUCCGGCUAAAUACGUGCCAGCAGCCGCCGCGGUAAUUC